rnacentral:lncRNA from 1 species
AGGCAUGUUACUACAUUCAAAACAUUGUUUUAAUUGGUUAAUUGUGAAUUAGUAAGUAGUGACUAUGAUUAAGUAUGUGCUUAAGUGUUAAAUUGACUCAAUUCUGUGGGAAUGAUAAUCUUUAACAUGUCAUGUGCAUUGGAAAUCCCUAAGGCAAACGUUGGAAGGUUUAGGUUGUUUUUGUUUGUUUGGUUUCGUUUUGUUUUUCUUUUGUUUCUUUGUUUUGCUCGAGGACUAGCAAAAGCUAAGUGUGGGGGAAUUUGAUAGGAGCAUUUUUAUGCGACUUAAUUGGCUUGUUCUCAUGCAUUUAUGUUGUUUUUCCUUAGUUAGUUUAGUGUUUAAAGUCAUUUUCGUGCAAUUUCAGGUUUUAUUGUCAAA